UACGUAGGAGGCGAGCGUUAUCCGGAUUCAUUGGGCGUAAAGAGCGCGUAGGCGGCCCAUUAAGUCAACCGUGAAAUCCCCCGGCUUAACUGGGAGAGGUCGGUUGAUACUGGUGGGCUUGAGGGCAGCAGGGGAAGGUGGAAUUCCCGGUGUAGCGGUGAAAUGCGUAGAGAUCGGGAGGAACACCAGUGGCGAAGGCGGCCUUCUGGGCUGUUUCUGACGCUGAGGCGCGAGAGCGUGGGGAGCAAACAGGAUUAGAUACCCGCGUA
rnacentral:rRNA from 1 species